CGGAGUGUAGCGCAGCUCGGUAGCGCGUCUCGUUCGGGACGAGAAGGUCGCAGGUUCGAAUCCUGUCUCUCCGACCA
rnacentral:tRNA from 5 species